rnacentral:rRNA from 1 species
CAUGCAAGUCGAGCGAACAGACGAGGAGCUUGCUCUCUGACGUUAGCGGCGGACGGGUGAGUAACACGUGGAUAACCUACCUAUAAGACUGGGAUAACUUCGGGAAACCGGAGCUAAUACCGGAUAAUAUAUUGAACCGCAUGGUUCAAUAGUGAAAGACGGUUUUGCUGUCACUUAUAGAUGGAUCCGCGCCGCAUUAGCUAGUUGGUAAGGUAACGGCUUACCAAGGCAACGAUGCGUAGCCGACCUGAGAGGGUGAUCGGCCACACUGGAACUGAGACACGGUCCAGACUCCUACGGGAGGCAGCAGUAGGGAAUCUUCCGCAAUGGGCGAAAGCCUGACGGAGCAACGCCGCGUGAGUGAUGAAGGUCUUCGGAUCGUAAAACUCUGUUAUUAGGGAAGAACAAAUGUGUAAGUAACUAUGCACGUCUUGACGGUACCUAAUCAGAAAGCCACGGCUAACUACGUGCCAGCAGCCGCGGUAAUACGUAGGUGGCAAGCGUUAUCCGGAAUUAUUGGGCGUAAAGCGCGCGUAGGCGGUUUUUUAAGUCUGAUGUGAAAGCCCACGGCUCAACCGUGGAGGGUCAUUGGAAACUGGAAAACUUGAGUGCAGAAGAGGAAAGUGGAAUUCCAUGUGUAGCGGUGAAAUGCGCAGAGAUAUGGAGGAACACCAGUGGCGAAGGCGACUUUCUGGUCUGUAACUGACGCUGAUGUGCGAAAGCGUGGGGAUCAACAGGAUUAGAUACCCUGGUAGUCCACGCCGUAAACGAUG